CUCUUUCUUCUCUCUUCCUACUUGGCUUAUUUACAAUGGUCAUUAAAUGAAGCGUGAAAUAAGCCAAGGGGAAGAAAAGAAGAAAGACCACACACUACAUUGUCUAUCUCCUGUGUUUUCUUUGUGUUGAGUUUAAAUUGAAUAAAAGAGAAAGGGAAAAAGAGGUAA
rnacentral:ribozyme from 1 species